GAUGAACGCUAGCGGCAGGCUUAAUACAUGCAAGUCGAGGGGCAGCAUGAUUGUAGCAAUACAAUUGAUGGCGACCGGCAAACGGGUGCGGAACACGUACACAACCUUCUAACAAGUGGGGGAUAGCCCAGAGAAAUUUGGAUUAAUACCCCGUAACAUAGCGAUGUGGCAUCACAUUGCUAUUAUAGAUUUUUCGCUUGUUGAUGGGUGUGCGGCUGAUUAGAUAGUUGGCGGGGUAACGGCCCACCAAGUCUACGAUCAGUAGCUGAUGUGGGAGCAUGAUCAGCCACACGGGCACUGAGACACGGGCCCGACUCCUACGGGAGGCAGCAGUAAGGAAUAUUGGACAAUGGACGCAAGUCUGAUCUAGCCAUGCCGCGUGAAGGAUUAAGGUCCUCUGGAUUGUAAACUUCUUUUAUAAGGGACGAAAAAAGGCUUUUCUAAGUCGUCUGACGGUACCUUAUGAAUAAGCACCGGCCAACUCCGUGCCAGCCGCCGCGGUAAAAC
rnacentral:rRNA from 1 species